UUGGAUUUUUUUCUCCCGAUUUAUCUGAUUCCUAUUUUAUUUUUUUUGUGAUUGAUGGGUGAUACUUGUUUUUGUAUGAUUUAUUUGAUUCAUGAUCAUCAAGUUCUACUAUGACUACGGAUCUAGGUUUUUCAUAGAUUUAAAAAAAAAAUUGUUUCACUAGUUUCUAAGGUGGUUCUGGAAUUAAAGUUUCGAUUGGUUUUAAUUUCUAAUGGCUUAAUUUGUUUUUACCAAACUCAAAUUAGUGUUAAUACCAAAAAAAUUUUACCGAAAAGUGAAAGCUAUAAUUCCAAUUGUUAGUGUUAAUACCAUUUGAGGUAGUGAUGUUGUAAUCUGAACUUCAUUUUUUGUUUUACAGACAAUGUCAUAGUUCCUUUUCAUGGGUUUGGUUUUAAUUUCAGUUUGUGAGUCAAGGUUUGAGUUGUUAUUGUAUUUCUUCACAUCUGGCUGCAAAGUUUGCUAUAUUUUUGGGGUAUUUAUAAGUAGAUUCAACCAUUUUGAUCUGAGAUUUACAUGGUCCAUUUCCAUUUGGAUUUUUUUUUUUGAUGUAUCUUUCUAGAAUGUUGGACAUCUCUGUUUAUAAGUGUUUUUCAGGUACUGGGAGAAGCAGUCCAAAACAGAAGUAAUAAGAAAAUUAUAUUGAGAAAAAAAGAAGGGCGAAAAACAAAUGUUCUUUGAGAUGCUUACAGAUUACCUGGUUCUUUGAGAUGUUCUUUGAGAUGAAAAAAAGCAGAUAUCUCCCCCUCUCUUUCUUUAUAAGAUUGAUUACAAUACACUCUGUAUUAGUAAUUGAUAAACACUUUUUUUGUUUUUUCAGUUUUGUUAAAAUUUGCAAUGGGUAAUUUAGUAGUAUGGCUUGCAGCAAUAAGGCAGCGCAUCAAGAAAGAUGUAGAUGAAGUUAAUAUUUCUAAACCCUAUCACUGAAUCUCAAACUCAGCCUUGUUUAGUUUGCUGUUGAAUACAACAUGUUUGUAAAAAUGCUUAACAAGUAUUUUGUCCUCUAUGUCUUGACUCUUAGUUUUUUUUUAAGUAUGCGGUAUGUUUAGAUAUCUUAAAAUCAGUAGCAUUUGUAGGUGGUGUGAUUGAACAAUGUAGACCUUAAUUGUAAGAGGGAGGCGGUUCCCAUGCUGAGGUAUAAGAGCCAACGAAGAGAUGGGAGAUUCCACUAUGGAGGUUAUUGAUGAAAACCUGGAAGCCCAACGACGAUUUCAACGUGAUGUUUGUUUGUUCAAUUCGAUCUCUCUACUGGCUCUGUGAUUAGGCAUCUAUGUUUUUUUGAAAGCUAGAGCAAGCAAUUGAGCAUCUUACAGAGGCAAUUAUGCUGAACCCAACAUCUCCAAUUAUAUAUGCAACUAGAGGAAGAGCCUUUUACAGCUGAAAAAAUUGAAGAAAUCAUACAAGAAAAUCUAGUUCUUCAUCUUCACUGGAUGUGUAUAAGACCACAAAACACUUCAAAUUGUUCCAGGUGACUCCUCGUUUCAUAUCCUACUAUGCCAUAUGCAUAGUACAUUGCAUAUUUUAGUAGACAUUCAAUCCUUUAAUUGUGCGGAAUUGUUUAUGGACAUUCUAGUUUUCUAGGUCUUAAUUAGUUCUAUAUUAAAAAAGGGAUAACAUUGGAUUCCCUAUUAACAAAAUUAUUUUCCUCUUUUUUUUUGUUUUCUUGUUGUCACCUUACAACGGUAACUAUGGUGAUUCUGUGAUACUUGUAACUUUGAAAGAAUUUCAUCGCAGACAGGUUAUAUGACAUUCAUAAAUAAGCAGCACUACUUGGGCUAUUGGUUAACCCCAUACUCUUCUGAUGGUCUGUUCUUUUAUCAUUAACUAACGUAACAUUAUUGUUGGCUGCAAACAUAAAAUAAUCGAAAUCUAGGGCUUAAUCUUUUGUUUCUGACCUUAGUACUGAAACAUCAAGUUGGUUAUUAUGCAGGUAUUUGGUCUUAAGUCAUAAAGCAGUACUCUGGUGAUAUUUUAGAAGCAGUUGAAAUCUUUUCUGAGGAGAUUGGUUAAGCAAGCGAAGUCUGGUGAUACUUCUGGUGAUAUUUAGUCUUUCUUUCCCUGUUUUUAUAAACAGGUUACCCAUCCAUUUAUAAACAUCAACAUAGAUCGAAUAUUGUAUGUCAGUCACAACAUACAUAAGUUUACUUGUGUACAUUUGUUUCAAUUGAAGAAUCCUUUCUUUAAUAAUAAUAUUAUCUAGUGGUGAUUCUCAA